rnacentral:misc_RNA from 1 species
GAUGAAGAACGUAGCGAAAUGCGAUAAGUAGUGUGAAUUGCAGAAUUCAGUGAAUCAUCGAAUCUUUGAACGCACAUUGCGCCCUUUGGUAUUCCUUAGGGCAUGCCUGUUCGAGCGUCAUUUAAACCUUCAAGCUCAGCUUGGUGUUGGGUGACUGUCCGCUUCACCGCGGACUCGCCUCAAAAUUAUUGGCGGCCGGUACAUUGGCUCUCGAGCGCAGCAGAAACGCGUAACUCGAGGUCCUCGUGCUGGCUCCCAGAAGCUAUCUUCACAAUUUUGACCUCGGAUCAGGUAGGGAUACCCGCUGAACUUAAGCAUAUCUAUAAGCGGAGGA